rnacentral:rRNA from 1 species
AUUGAACGCUGGCGGCAUGCUUUACACAUGCAAGUCGAACGAGUGGCGGACGGGUGAGUAAUGCCUCGGAACGUCCCGAAUAAUGGGGGAUAACUGUCCGAAAGGACAGCUAAUACCGCAUAUUAUUAGAUCUGCCGAUGUCUGAUUAGCUGGUUGGUGGGGUAAAGGCUCACCAAGGCGACGAUCAGUAGCGGGUCUGAGAGGAUGAGCUGCCACACUGGGACUGAGACACGGCCCAGACUCCUACGGGAGGCAGCAGGGGGGAAUUUUGGACAAUGGGCGCAAGCCUGAUCCAGCCAUGCCGCGUGUAUGAAGAAGGCCUUCGGGUUGUAAAGCACUUUCAGCGGGGAGGCGUUACCCGCAGAAGAAGCACCGGCUAACUCCGUGCCAGCAGCCGCGGUAAUAC